GUCAACGGUUUCGCCUUAGCGCGCGACAGUAGACGGGGUGCCCAUCAUGGUUAAGGGGUAUUGGCAUGGUUUGCAAUGUGGCUGCUUCGUCGUUGUGUUCGGUUGUACCAAGCACUCRUGAAAUUAUUGCUCCCUCCCACUCACCUCUCAGAAAUUUGGAGGAGUAUGAUAAUCCAUGGCUGUAGAUCUGAGAGCGUGCAAAGUUUUUCUCAAUUUUAUAGCAUCAGCCAGCAGAACCAAGCCAAACCAACUAGCAAGCAAAUGAAGACUGAAACAACAUUUUGACUAAAUGUAACAAAGUCGUUUACGAAGAACAGUGCUUCGGAAAUGYUGCAAAAUGCUGAGACUUUUUUGCGCCAAACAAGUUUA